GCCUACGGGAGGCAGCAGGGGGAAUAUUGGACAAUGGGCGAAAGCCUGAUCCAGCCAUGCCGCGUGUGUGAAGAAGGUCUUCGGAUAGUAAAGCACUUUAAGUUGGGAGGAAGGGUUGUAGAUUAAUACUCUGCAAUUUUGACGUUACCGACAGAAUAAGCACCGGCUAACUCUGUGCCAGCAGCCGCGGUAAU
rnacentral:rRNA from 1 species